rnacentral:rRNA from 1 species
AUGUCAGGUGCCACCUCCGCAGCACCAAAGCAUAAACAUAACCCUGCCACUUCGUCUCACACUAUCAAUGAGGUUACACCCUCACACAAGAAAAGCAGGAUAAACUCAUAUCACGCCGAUGACGAGGUUACUCCAAAGAACUCAAAAUUGCAAGCACAACAUGAAGAGUCAAAAUGUUGGGCUGACAGCCUAAUAGGUGGCAUCCUCAUGUUCACCAAUGAGACUGACCCCCCUGAAGAUGCUGUCCUAUUUGCUCAUAUCUCACCAUUCAAACCCACCCCUGUUACUACCUUGCACACAUCUUAUGUUGAUUCUCAUUGGACUGAUGGUAGAUUACACAUUCACCCACCACCUGACGUUCUAAUCGAGAUUGACUCAUAUCUUCGGAACCACCCAACAAGUGACCUUAGCUGCCCGUGGAUCACACAUGUGACCCCCCGUUAUUGCUCUCUUACUGGUAACACUAUCGUCGACCAGUUGUAUGGAUGCAAGCUUCUUGAUCACGAAGAUUUGUUCGAAACAUAUAUCAGCCAAGCCCUGCUAUUUAAAAUAAUCAGUUAUUCCAAACAUAUAUGUAACGAGGAGAUUUGUUCUAUCGAAACUUACGCUUUCAAUGUCUUCUUGAAACAUAUCAUCAUGUUUUCUAACCCUCUUCCCAAAAUUCCAUUACUCACAGUAGGAUACAGUGAUCGGAACUAG